GAAACUUCAAAGGACCUGGGAGCUUCACUGGAACCCAGACAUGGCGAUGCCCUUCCAGAAGUAGGCGAUGGUGGAACUAGUAAACCAAUUAAUGAAUAUCAACUCUUCUUCCAGAGGAAAAGAGGAUACACCAGGGGUGGCGGCGUCCUUCACCAUUUGGGUAAAAGGUCCUCACAGCCCCCUCUCAUCAUGUCUUCAAGAUGCACAGAGCCUGCUCCUCUUCAUGGCUCUUCUUCACUUCAGCAGCAGUGACAGCAUGACAUACAUUCUCUGUGCUGGAAAAGGAAGUCACUGGGACCUCAGAAGGGGAUGAAUGCUGCCCAACAGACACAGCAUGUUGUCUUCUUUGCUCCUCUAUUUAAAAGUCAUGUUUCUCAAUGAAAAUAGCUGAUUUUUGGGAAGCUGUUCAAAAUGCAAGACAUGUCAAUGAUAAUCAGUGGAUGAUAGCGGUCUGAUAAAUCCUACUGCAAAAGAAUGAGGGGGCAAUUACAUUUACCCUUUUGGAAUUAUUUACUGUAUGUCCUAUAAAAAUGUACACACACUCACAAACUGCGAAGUGCAGGGCUGUAGAGGGCAACAACUUAUUGGCUAUACGCCCUGCAGUGCCUUUGAAGCUUGUGCUGCUGGAAGACUGGCUAUAGCUAGCAAUUCCUGACAUCCUUUCAUCUUUGCCUCCUGUAGUAGUAGAAGUAUGAUCCCACAGUAACGGCUCUUGAAGCCAAUGUUAUGUUCUAGAUGUGAAAUAAAUCCUGACACACGUUACAAUAUUUGGUUUCCAAGGUGCCCCUCGGAACCUCUCCACAUUUACACCACAGAAAAAUGGUAUGUGAUAGAAGCUUAGACGUAACACUGGGAUAUGAAUUAUACAAUGGAAGAAUUUACAGAAAAAAAAGUGGUACAGUAACUAGGAAUACAUGGAAACAUCUUGUGCUAGGAAAGAAGCCGAUAUAACAAUGUGAAGUGGCUGAAUUAAACACAUGCAAUUGAAAUAGUCAUAAAGGGUGCUCAAUUUAUUUGGUCAAAAUAUGACCCAACCUUUCAUGCGAUGUUGAAUAAAUAAAAUGUAUGCAUACAAGUAAAUGACAUGUAGCAGGGAUACUAUU